rnacentral:rRNA from 1 species
UUGGACCUGAUAUCAAACAAGACUACCCG